GACGAACCGUGCUAACGUUGUUCGGAUUCACUGGGCUUAAAGGGCGCGUAGGCGGCUUGCCAAGUCAGGGGUGAAAUCUUUCGGCUCAACCGGAAAACAGCUUCUGAUACUGGUAGGCUGGAGGGAGGUAGGGGCGGAUGGAACUUCCGGUGGAGCGGUGAAAUGCGUAGAUAUCGGAAGGAACGCCGGUGGCGAAAGCGAUCCGCUGGACCUCUUCUGACGCUGAGGCGCGAAAGCGUGGGGAGCAAACAGG
rnacentral:rRNA from 1 species